CCUACGGGUGGCAGCAGUGAGGAAUAUUGGUGAAUGGACGAGAGUCUGAACCAGCCAAGUAGCGUGAAGGAUGACUGCCCUAUGGGUUGUAAACUUCUUUUAUAUGGGAAUAAAAUGUUCCACGUGUGGGAUUUUGUAUGUACCAUAUGAAUAAGGAUCGGCUAACUCCGUGCCAGCAGCCGCAGUAAUACGGAGGAUCCAAGCGUUAUCCGGAUUUAUUGGGUUUAAAGGGAGCGUAGGUGGAUUGUUAAGUCAGUUGUGAAAGUUUGCGGCUCAACCGUAAAAUUGCAGUUGAAACUGGCAGUCUUGAGUACAGUAGAGGUGGGCGGAAUUCGUGGUGUAGCGGUGAAAUGCUUAGAUAUCACGAAGAACUCCGAUUGCGAAGGCAGUUCACUGGACUGCAACUGACACUGAGGCUCGAAAGUGUGGGUAUCAAACAGGAUUAGAUACCCCUGUAGUC
rnacentral:rRNA from 1 species